GAGAGGCCCAGAGCCAGAGGAAACACCAAGACUCAGAGUGAAGAGAGUCCACCAAGAUGAAAAUCAUGCCCCGUGGUUUGUCCUGGCACCUGCAGCGAACAGAAAGCUGCAAAGUGUUCCUGGAAGCGUGCCUAACAGGGCAUACAUUUUUGGACAUGAAGUCACAGAGAUCUGUGCCAGCAGCAAGACUGAACCUAUCAGAAUGUAAAAGCAUUGGUGGUGACCCUGGAGAGAAGAGCACUUACCAUUUAUGCCAGGGCUUGUCAGCCUUUCACAAAUGGAGCUCUUUGAUUCCCUCCAUGAGAGAAGGACAUCAAGGAAGUCUGAUUGCAGGAACCAGCUCCCCGUGCAAAGACACAAAACAAUACCAGUGACCUUGAGAAGCUGAGGACUUGUUUUCUCCUAGGACGUGAUGUGCUGCUGGAGGGAAGUGUCUCACUUGACCUGAAGUGAGGUAAAAGUGUGGGAGGGGGGUAUCAGGGCUUUUUUCUCAGAAGGGCCUCUUUUCCUCUGCCUCCCUGUUUACAUGCUUGUCUGUUGCUUCAGAUAAUUUAUUUCAGAUAAUUACCAUUCUCAAUAGCCCUGAAUGCAGCCUUGUCAAGGGUUUUCCAGGUAGAAGAGAUUUUGCCUCUACAUGUUAUUUAGUUUCAUGCUUUAUCAAUUAUACCCCCAACCCAGCAAG